UGCUGAGACAAAUAGGAAAUUUAUUUUAUACUUUAUCCCAGUUUUAUGGCUUUGAUCUUUACUACUUAGUUUUAUCUAUUACAUUUCAAUUUUUCUUUAAAAAUUAGCAUUAUAUUAAAUUGUUAUAUUAUGCAACUAAAGUUUAUAAAGAAGAAAGCCUUAUAUACCAUUAAAUAUUUUAUAUAGCAUAGUAAAAAGAAUAACUUAACUGGUAAGCAUAACAAAAAUAAUACACCCUCUGAAAAUAAGUAAAAUAUAAAAUGCAUAAGUUGGUUAAAAAACAGUGUAACUAUAUAAAUAUGUCCUCACAAUUUGUUCCAUCUCAUUCAUUCUUCAAUAAAGGCAUUACACCAUUCUAGGUGAUGUGAUAAACCAGACAUUAUAGACUUUACAUUGUACCAUGGAGAGAAAUUGUUAUGAAUAAUACAAUUGUAGACUGUAUUAUUUAAUUCUACAGUGGCAUUAUUUAAUUAUAAUUAUCAUAAGUUCUUUGAUGGAGAGGAAAUCAGAAUCAGAUCUAAGAAGACUUCAGCAUUCCAAGAAUGAUGUCAAAUGACUCCCUUCAUAGUGGAUUAUGCACUGAUUUAUUAUGAGAUAUAUUUCUUCUCCAGAGAUUCCUUGUUUGUGUAUCAAUUGUAGAUUUUUGGUUUGCAGUUAUUCUGAAGUUUUGAUGUAAGAGUCUAUAUGUAUAUGAGAUUGUUUUAAGUUGUUGUUCUCUUAAUUGCAAGUUCAUCUCCAGUGUCCUGCAUUUGUACCCGCCUCUUCUCAUGAUUUCUGAUUUUGGUGGGAUAAUCAUGCAUGGAUGAUUUCAUAUCUUUACUGUAUAUAUACCUUUCCUGGUGAGCCUUGUCAUUUGUGGAAUUUUUGUUUCCUGUUGCUGAUCUUUUCUUUCCUGCCUAGAGAAGUUCCUUUCGUAUUUGUUGUAAGGCUGGUUUAGUGUUGCUGAAUUCUCUCAGCUUUUGCUUAUCUGAGAAGGUUUUGAUUUCUCCUUCAAAUCUGAAUGAGAGCCUUGCUGGGUAGAGUAAUCUUGGUUGGAGGUUUUUUCCUUUCAUCAUGUUGAGUAUAUCUUGCCACUCCCUCCUGGUCUUCAGAGUUUCAGCUGAAAAUUCUGCUGAUAACCUUAUUGGGGUUUCCUUGUAUGUUACUUUUUUCUUUUCCCUAUCUGCUUUCAAGAUUUUCUCUUUGUCUUUAAUUUUGGUUAGUUUGAUUAAUAUGUGUCUUGGUGUAUUCCUCCUUGGGUUUAUUUUAUAUGGUACUCGUGCUUCCUGGAUUUGAGUGAGUGGUUCCUUUCCCAUGUUAGGGAAGUUUUCGGCUAUUAUCUCUUGGAAUAUUUUUUCUGUCCCCUUCUCUCUCUCUCUUCUCCUUCUGGCACCCCUAUAAUAUGGAUGUUGGUGUGUUUAACGUUGUCCCAGAAUUCUCUGAGACUCUCUCCAUUUGUUUUCAAUCAUUUUCUCUUUUCUGUUCUGCAUCCGUAAUUUCUUCUAAUCUGUCCUCCACCUUGCUUAUUCGUUCUUUUGCCUCCUGUAUUCUGCUGUUAGCUGCUUCUAGUGAGUUUUUAUUUCAGUUAUUGUAUUUUGCAUCUCUUCUUGUUUAAGUUUUAUGUCUCAUAUCUCUUUGGUCAGUGUUUCCUGACCAAAAUUAUCCAUCUUUGCCUCCAGUUUAUUUCCAAUGUCUUGCAUCAUCUUCAGCAUCAACUGUCUAAAGUCUUUUUCCUGGAGGCUGAGAAUCUCCUCAUCGUUUAGCUGAUUUUCUGGGGUUUUUCCUUUCUCCCUCAUCUGAGUUAUAGUUCUCUGUCUUUUCAUUUUUAUAGGUUUUCGGUGUGGUGACCUUUUUAUAGAUAAUAGAUUUGUAGCCUCUCUUACUUCUGGUGUCUGCCCCCCUUGUGGCUGAAGUCGGUAUGGGGGACUUGCUGUAGGCCUCCUUAUGGGAGGGGCUGAUGCCUGCCCACUGGUAGGUGGAGCCGAUUCUAAUCCCUCUGGUGGGCCCACCCACCAGAGGGAUUAGAAUCAGCUCCACCUACCAGGGGGCAGGCAUCAGCUCCUCCCAUCAGGAAGUCUACACCAAGCACCCAUACUGACUUCAGCCACAGGGGGGCAGACACCAGAAGUAAGCAAGGCAAUAACUCUAGUAUGUGUAAAAAGGUCACCACACCAAAAACCAGAGAACUAUAACUCAGAUGAGGGGGAAAGGAAAAACCCCAGAAAAUCAGCUAAGUGAUCAGGAGAUUCUCAGCCUCCAGGAAAAAGACUUUAGACUGCUGAUGCUGAAGAUUAUGCAAGACAUUGGAAAUAAACUGGAGGCAAAGAUGGAUAACUUUGGUCAGGAAACACUGACCAAAGAGAUACAAGACAUAAAACUUAAACAAGAAGAGAUGCAAAAUACAAUAACUGAAAUAAAAAAUUCACUAGAAGCAGCUAACAGUGGAAUACAGGAGGUAGUAAAACAAAUAAGUGAGGUAGAGGACAGAUUAGAAGAAAUUAUGGAUGCAGAACAGAAAAGAGAAAAUGAUUGAAAACAAAUGGAGAGAGUCUCAGAGAACUCUUGGACAAUGUUAAAUGCACCAACAGCCAUAUUAUAGGCGUGCCAGAAGGAGAAGAGAGAGAGAAGGGGAUAGAAAAAAUAUUCCAAGAGAUAAUAGCCGAAAACUUCCCUAACAUGGGAAAGGAACCACUCAUUCAAAUCCAGGAAGCACAAUGAGUACCAUAUAAAAUAAACCCAAGGAGGAAUACACCAAGACACAUAUUAAUCAAACGGACCAAAAUUAAAGACAAAGAAAAAAUCUUGAAAGCAGCUAGGGAAAAGAAAAAAGUAACAUACAAGGAAACCCCAAUAAGGUUAUCAGCAGAAUUUUCAGCUGAAACUCUGAAGGCCAGGAGGGAGUGGCAAGAUAUACUCAACAUGAUGAAAGGAAAAAACCUCCAACCAAGAUUACUCUACCCAGCAAGGCUCUCAUUCAGAUUUGAAGGAGAAAUCAAAACCUUCUCAGAUAAGCAAAAGCUGAGAGAAUUCAGCAACACUAAACCAGCCUUACAACAAAUACGAAAGGAACUUCUCUAGGUAGAAAAGAAAAGAUCAGCAAUAGGAAACAAAAAUUCCACAAAUGACAAGGCCCACCAGUAAAGGUAUAUAUACAGUAAAGAUAUGAAAUCAUCCAUGCAUGAUUAUCCCACCAAAAUCAGAAAUCAUGAGAAGAGGUGGGUACAAAUGCAGGACACUGGAGAUGAACUUGCAAUUAAGAGAACAACAACUUAAAACAAUCUCAUAUACAUAUAGACUCUUAACAUCAAAACUUCAGAAUAACUGCAAACCAAAAAUCUACAAUUGAUACACAAACAAGGAAUCUCUGGAGAAGAAAUAUAUCUCAUAAUAAAUCAGUGCAUAAUCCACUAUGAAGGGGGUCAUUUGACACCAUUCUUGGAAGUUAAGAAGUCUUGACUCUGAUGUCUCCUUACAUCUGAUUUUGAUUUCCUCUCCAUCAAAGAAUUUAUGAUAAUUAUAAUUAAAUAAUGCCACUGUACAAUUAAAUAAUUCAGUCUACAAUUGUAUUAUUAAUAACCAUUCCUCUCCAUGGUACAAUGUAAGGUCUAUAAUGUCUUGUUUAUCACAUCACCUAGAACGGUGUAAUGCCUAUAUUGAAGAAUCAAUAAGAUGUAACAAAUUGUGAGGACAUGUUUAUAUAGUUACACUGUUUUUUAACCAAUAUGCAUUUUAUAUUUUACUUAUUUUCAGAGGGUGUAUUAUUUUUGUUAUGCUUACCAGUUAAGUUAUUCUUUUUAUUAUGCUAUAUAAAAUAUUU
rnacentral:lncRNA from 9 species